ACUCAAAGGAAUAGACGGGGGCCCGCACAAGCGGCGGAGCAUGCGGAUUAAUUCGAUGCAACGCGAAGAACCUUACCUGGGCUUGACAUGCAGGGGGAUCCGGCGGAGACGUCGGCGCCUUUCGGGGCCCCUGCACAGGUGGUGCAUGGUUGUCGUCAGCUCGUGUUGUGAAAUGUUGGGUUAAGUCCCGCAACGAGCGCAACCCUCGCCUCGUGUUGCCAGCGGGUCAUGCCGGGAACUCACGGGGGACCGCCGGGGUUAACUCGGAGGAAGGUGGGGAUGACGUCAAAUCAUCAUGCCCCUUACGUCCAGGGCUUCACGCAUGCUACAAUGGCCGGUACAGAGGGAUGCGAUGGCGUGAGCCGGGGCGGAUCCCUUAAAACCGGUCUCAGUUCGGAUCGGGGGCUGCAACUCGCCCCCGUGAAGGUGGAGUCGCUAGUAAUCGCAGAUCAGCAACGCUGCGGUGAAUGCGUUCCCGGGCCUUGCACACACCGCCCGU
rnacentral:rRNA from 1 species